CCCAUGUAAACGCAUUUAAUGACAUCAAACGUCAUUGGUUCUGAUGUGUCUCAUUACAAAGUUUAAUUGACCAGUUGCUUCAGUGCAGAAUAAUGAAUAAUGACUUAAAUUUUAGCCAGUUCCUCACACAAAACAUCAUGUGACUUCAGAAGACUUGAAAUAUAGUGCACUAGUCAUAUGGACUGAUUUAUGAUCAUUUUUAGAGUCAAGUCAAGUCACAAUUAUUUAAAAAGCUGUGUCAAAGCAGCUUAACAGUAUUAAAUGGGGAAAUAGUGUGUCUUUCUCCUCUGGCCAGACAAACCCAGUUUAAUCUAUGCUGCAGCAGAGUCAGAUUGUGCAGAGGAUUCAUCUGGUUCCCGUGGUCUUGUCCCAAUGGCCGUCUAGAUGUCCUGGUCUCCACUUACAUUUCAGGGGAAUUAUUAAGUUUGCCCACAAAACCAGUGCAAAUAACUCAGCGCUGACCUGCCGGAUGGCUUUGGAAGGGCAACCUCCCAGAGGGACGGCGUUGGGAGCUUAAUUAGAAUGUCAGGAGACACUUUCAAAGUAGUGUGAGAUGAGAGUCCACUCCAAUGGGAAACCCGAGCCGAUCGUCUUUCCCAGUUCAAGGCAAAUUGUUGAAUGGGAUCAGACACAAGGAAUCACAGUGAGUCAAAUGGGACCCAUAAAGAACAGCACGGGGGGCGGGGGGGGGGUCUUCUUUAACAGUUUGCAUGCACUAAAAUCGUAAUGGUACAAGAACAUGAGCUAUAUUAAUACAUGCUCUCAUAGUUUACCGGAAAGAAAAUAGAGCAGCUAUGUUAAUGACAUUACGAUAAAGAUCAAGAGCCACUGUGAAGAAAUCUGAUUACCAUCAGCUCACAAGUAUUUUCUGUGGAAAAUGUUUGACAAAUAAUUAUAGAAUUAACCAAGGCUGCAUUUAUUUGAUCAGAAAUAUAGGAAAAAACAUGAAAUAUUAAUUCAUUUUAAAAUGCUGUUUUAUGUGUGAAUAUAUGUUAAAAUGUCAUUUGAGUUCUGUGAUGCGCAGCUGUAUUUUCAGCAUCAUUACUUGAGUCUUCGAUGUCACAUGAUCCUUUAGAAAUCAUUCUAAUAUGCUGAUUUGAUCCUCUAGAAACAUUUCUGAUUAUUAUCAAUGUUGAAAACAGUUGUGCUGCACAAUAUUUUUGUUUUCCAUAUUAUUUGAUGAGGUUCAAAAGAGCAGCAUUUAUUUGAAUUUUUUUUGUAACAAAUGUCUUUACUGUCA
ensembl:lncRNA